rnacentral:rRNA from 1 species
GACGAACCGUGCGAACGUUGUUCGGAAUCACUGGGCUUAAAGGGCGCGUAGGCGGCUUGCCAAGUCAGGGGUGAAAUCCAGCAGCUUAACUGUUGAAGUGCCUUUGAUACUGGCGGGCUCGAGGGAGGUAGGGGUAUGCGGAACUUCUGGUGGAGCGGUGAAAUGCGUUGAUAUCAGAAGGAACGCCGGUGGCGAAAGCGGCGUACUGGACCUCUUCUGACGCUGAGGCGCGAAAGCUAGGGGAGCAAACGGG